ACUCUAGGAAAUGCCUCCCUCCGAAAAACAAAUAAGCAUUUGUCACAGUAGGAAGGGACCCUGACAGAGGCAACUGGGAUUAAAUGUUUUUGCUAAAGAUGAUGAUGAUGUCACCUUCUCCAACGGAUUCAAUUCCUGCCUUCUUCCUCACCUCAUGCAACUAUGGAAUUUGUAUCAAAAUGAAGUGCACGUUUUUAAUCAGUCCCGGAGAGGCUGAGGCAGGAGGCUUUCAUUAUACACAAAAGACAUGGGUGUUAUUUAAUUAUGAAGAUCCUUUCAGAAAACUAAGAAUGAAUUGAACAUCAAGUUUUAUCAUUGUGAUCAUCUACCCUCUGAGGUACGGUAUUAUCUCAGUAUUUGUUCACAUAUUAGUAUAGAGCUGGAAAUCAUAUUUCAGGUUUUUAAUAAUUAAUUAUAC
rnacentral:sRNA from 1 species